rnacentral:misc_RNA from 1 species
CAGCGCCGGUGCCACCACACCAAUCCCAUUAUCAACACCAUUGCUAUUAACACUCUCAACACUGCUCUGCACUGUAUUAUUCCCAUCAACAGGUGAAUUAGACAUGGGAAUUUCAAUGGUACUCGCUCUACCCACAUGAAGAUCACUCAUUAAUAAACACCACAUAGCAUCACCUUUACACAAAUGCGGCCUAACUUGCUGCAACAAACAAACCAUACCUGCAAGAGAAUACUCCUCCAAUUGCCUUAAAUCAUUAAAAACAGGAUGGCAUUCAUCUAAAUUACCAUUACUAGUACUGCUGCCACCACUCUCACAAUUGCUAUUCAAAUAAGCUAAGGAGUUAUGCAAUAUAUUAGUUAAAACAUCCAUACCACCAUAGCAAUGCCCAUUACGC